GAUGAGAGGCCCCUGGGGAUGAGGCGCUGGGUCCCUGCUGUGGGUAGGGAAGCUCUGUGAGCCGUAGUAAAGGGCAGAGGGGUGCAGCACAGGCUGCAGGCUUCAGUUCUGAGGUCUCCCCGAGCAUUCGCCCUCUGUCUCAGCAGCCCCCACCCAGGUUUCCCACACUCCCCUGAGAAAGGAUGACUUAUUCCUCAGUGCCCUGGACUCCAAGUGUGGACGAAGCAGGUGGCUCCUGUGUGCACGACUCCUGCCCCAUGCUGUGGAGGCGAUUGGUGGAGUCCUGGAAUUGGGCAGGUCGCAGUGGUUCCAUGGGCAGUGAGCACUGUGCCUCCGAGCCCAUCUGUCAUGGCAGCAGAGAUGGGGCAAAAUUCACAGCUCAGCUUUUGAAGCCUACUAUCACCAAAUGUUCCGCCAGGCCCUGGGCUUGUCCCAAACAGCAGGGACAGGCAGGCAGAGUGCGGCAGCAGGGACAGAGCUCCCUGUGCCACAGAAACCAGGCUCCAUCCCCAGACUCAGGAAAGGUCCCUUGACACCCACACAGCUCGCUUUCACCCACCCGGGACCUCCCUCGACACUCGCGCCUGUCCACAGCAGGCCGACUCCGCAAACACGGGUCCGCGGGGAGAUGGUGGUGUGUGGCACAAGCUGCUCCUGCAUGAGGAGGAGGGACUGGAGGGGGCAAGGCCAGGGCACUGAGAUGAGAGGC
rnacentral:lncRNA from 1 species